CUGACGCGGCUAGCACAGACUCUGAAGACACAAGCCGAUAGGCGUGAACUUGGAAAUAAGAUAAAACUAACGGAUUAGGUCAGGAUUGAAUCUAAACAAAAUCUGGGUCACGUUUGGAUCAAGUUACGGGGUCUGGGUUAAAUCUGGGUUAGCAUUGACGCGCGACUAGCUACCACCUUGGUGGCUAGAUAAGGGCGCAACGACGACGACGCCGCUUAUGUAAGGAUUAGUCUCGAUUAGACCGGAGCAAAGGGCGCGGAAACGAUCGGAGGAUAUUGCGAUGAUGGAUGAAAGAAACUAGGGUAGGAAUUGCUCGCUGAUGCGGCAACGAUGCACGCUCUUUUUAUUCGACGUCCUUUUGAAUCGAUUGCUGAAGAAGGAUUUCUU